AGCAGCCGCGGUAAUUCCAGCUCCAAUAGCGUAUAUUAAAGUUGUUGCAGUUAAAAAGCUCGUAGUUGAAUUUCGGGGUCAGUAGGUUGGUCGUGCCACCGGUACGUACUGGUCUCACUGAUUCCUCCUUCCUGAUGAGCUGUAAUGCCAUUAAUUUGGUGUUGCAGGGAAUCUGGACUGUUACUUUGAAAAAUUAGAGUGUUUAAAGCAGGCUAACGCUUGAAUACAUUAGCAUGGAAUAAUGAAAUAGGACGUUCGAUCCUAUUUUGUUGGUUUCUAGGAUUGACGUAAUGAUUAAUAGGGAUAGUUGGGGGCAUUAGUAUUCAAUUGUCAGAGGUGAAAUUCUUGGAUUUAUUGAAGACUAACUACUGCGAAAGCAUUUGCCAAGGAUGUUUUCAUUAAUCAAGAACGAAAGUUAGGGGAUCGAAGACGAUCAGAUACCGUCGUAGUCUUAACCAUAAACUAUGCCGACUAGGGAUCGGAUGAUGUUUAUUUUUAGUGACUCAUUCGGCACCUUAAC
rnacentral:rRNA from 1 species